rnacentral:rRNA from 1 species
GCUAAUACCGCAUAAGCGCACAGCUUCGCAUGAAGCAGUGUGAAAAACUCCGGUGGUAUACGAUGGAUCCGCGUCUGAUUAGCUGGUUGGCGGGGUAAAGGCCCACCAAGGCGACGAUCAGUAGCCGGCCUGAGAGGGUGAACGGCCACAUUGGGACUGAGACACGGCCCAAACUCCUACGGGAGGCAGCAGUGGGGAAUAUUGCACAAUGGGGGAAACCCUGAUGCAGCGACGCCGCGUGAGUGAAGAAGUAUUUCGGUACGUAAAGCUCUAUCAGCAGGGAAGAAAAUGACGGUACCUGACUAAGAAGCCCCGGCUAACUACGUGCCAGCAGCCGCGGUAAUACGUAGGGGGCAAGCGUUAUCCGGAUUUACUGGGUGUAAAGGGAGCGUAGACGGCGGGGCAAGUCUGGAGUGAAAGGCCGGGGCCCAACCCCGGGACCGCUCUGGAAACUGCCCGGCUGGAGUGCGGGAGAGGUAAGCGGAAUUCCUAGUGUAGCGGUGAAAUGCGUAGAUAUUAGGAAGAACACCAGCGGCGAAGGCGGCUUACUGGACCGUGACUGACGUUGAGGCUCGAAAGCGUGGGGAGCAAACAGGAUUAGAUACCCUGGUAGUCCACGCCGUAAACGAUGAUCACUAGGUGU